rnacentral:lncRNA from 1 species
GUGCCGUUUAAAGCAAACCGAUCAAGAAAGUGGCACGACCCUCUGAGGCUCUGACCAGCCGAUUUUGUACUUAUCCCGAGUUGCAGUGACUAAGACGCCAGACGUUACCCCUAUCUUAACGUCCAGAAUUUUUCGAGUUGUGACUCAAAGAGUUACUCCAGUUAAGCCGUUAGGAGUUACCCUAGUUAUGACGUCAGAAGUGUUCGGUCGUAACGUCAGGAAGUGCCGGUCCGCAAAGCGUGGAGUUACCCUGGACGUCAGGAGUUACGGUACCCCUUUCGCGACGUCCAAUUUCUCACGGCAGUGAAGUCAGGAUUACCUACACUGGUUGUAACAUCAAACAUUUUCUCUGUGACGACACUUCCGGCUGCGACGUCAGAAGUUACGGUACCCAAUUUAUGACUCUAGGAGCCAACCUCGCUGUGACGUCGAGAGUGGUUCCGAUUGUCACGUCAAGAGUCGUCCGGGCUUAGACGUCUGGAGUUGUUUCGGCUGUUACAUCUAGAGUUAUUUGGGCUGUGACGUUAAAGGUUGCCCAGGCUCUGACUCCAGAAGCCAACCUCGCUUUGACGUCGAGAGUUGUUCCUGUUGUGACAUCAAGCGUCGUCUGAGGUGGAACGCCUGGAGUUGUCCCGACUGUGACAUCAAGAGUCAUCCAGGCUGUGACAUCAAGAGUCAUCCAGGCUGUGACAUCAAGAGUUGUCCCGACUGUGACAUCAAGAGUCAUCCAGGCUGUGAUAUCAAGCGUUGUUUCGGGUGUGACAUCAAGAGUUGCCCUAACUACGACGGCAGUUGUUACCCCGGUUGUGUCGUCAGAGGCACCCUAGUCGUGACGCAAGGAUGGGAUUUCUGCGGGCGCUGUGGAUCCUGACGUACAAGAACGUGCGGUUCCGGGCGCGGCACUGGCUGUUCACGGUGGGCGAGGUGGCGGUGCCGCUGCUCCUGUUCUACGCGGUGGUCUACGCCAAGAAGUCCUACCCGACGGUCUUCGGGCAGAGUGUGCGCAAGAACGAAACGUUCUUCCCGCCGGUAAGCGAGCAGACCCUCUUCCAGGAGCCCUUCCUCCAGGGCACCCUCCACCUCCUCUACACCCCGCCCACCAACUUCACCACCGACCUCAUCCAACUCGUCGCCGUCAUCCUCAAAACACGCAGCUAUUCCAAGGUUUCUGUUUCGGUGGUCGGUGUGGCGGACGAGUCAGAGAUGGAGUCGCGGUUCUUCAAGCUGUACCACAACAAGAGCCGAGAGCUGGCGACCAACCCGAACGCCAGCCUCCCCAGCGGCCUGGGCAUCGUGUUCCAGGACCUGCCCUUCGACGGGUGCGAGCCCCUCCACCUCAACUACAAGAUCAGGCCCGCCUCCAACCAGUUCAACACCGAGGAGCUCUUCCAAGAGUCCGAGAUCCCUGCCGAACAAAACUCUCCGUACGUGAGGAACAGUUUUUUGCCCGUCUACUUGGCGCUGAAUUUCGCCUACAUCUAUCAAAAACUGGCGCCUUCAUGCCGAGAGUAAGAUCCUCUUGAAUCUCAAUGUCACUUAAUGUCUUGGUGUAGAUAACUUUGUAGUAGUAUAGUAGGACUUAAAUAGAGCGAAAGUUGGAAAAGUUCAUCGCGACGCGCUGAAGUCCGAGGUGGUAUAUGUCUUUGGGUGGUAUACGGUAGCGGUAGGAGCGCAUAUCAGUCGGAACACUGCCGUCAAUUUCAAUUUCGCGCCGAUGCGCUGGGUGCAAACGACCAAUCAAAAUUUUUGGCGCAAAGACAAGCUCCGCCUCGCGCACGGCGCGAAAUUCAAAUUGACGGCAGUGUUCCAACUGAGCGCUCUUGCCAAAUGCCACCGCGGACUCCAGCGAGUCGCUAAAAUUUGAUUCUCAUAAUUAUCUCAAGUAUCACCUCGUACAUUUUUCAAUUUUUCUCGGUAAGUUUAUUGAUAUACUAAACCUUAUCACUUCUACAAUGUUGUAUUUUUUAGCUAGCUUUAAACCGUAUUAGCACGAGCAUUAA